rnacentral:rRNA from 1 species
UACGUAGGGUGCGAGCGUUAAUCGGAAUUACUGGGCGUAAAGCGUGCGCAGGCGGUUCGCCAAGUCAGGUGUGAAAUCCCCGGGCUUAACCUGGGAAUUGCGCUUGAAACUAGCGGGCUUGAGUGCGGCAGAGGGGGGUGGAAUUCCACGUGUAGCAGUGAAAUGCGUAGAGAUGUGGAGGAACACCGAUGGCGAAGGCAGCCCCCUGGGUUGACACUGACGCUCAUGCACGAAAGCGUGGGGAGCAAACAGG